rnacentral:rRNA from 1 species
UACAGAGGGUGCAAGCGUUAAUCGGAAUUACUGGGCGUAAAGCGUGCGUAGACGGUUAUGUAAGUCAGGUGUGAAAGCCCCGGGCUCAACCUGGGAAUUGCAUUUGAGACUGCAUAGCUAGGGUGCGGAAGAGGGAAGCGGAAUUUCCGGUGUAGCGGUGAAAUGCGUAGAUAUCGGAAGGAACAUCAGUUGCGAAAGCGGCUUCCUGGUCCAGCACCGACGUUCAUACACGAAAUCGUAUAGAGCAAACAGG